GUCCCUUAGCACAAUGGAUAGCGCGUUGGAGUUCUGAUUGAAAGUUCGUGGGUUCGAAUUCCAUGUGGGAUG